GGGGAUAUAUCUCAAUAUGGUAGAGUGCGUGCUUUGCAAGCAUGAUGUUGUGAGUUCAAGUCUCUCUAUCUCCA
rnacentral:tRNA from 1 species